rfam:Streptococcus agalactiae LMG 14747 ctg7180000010207, whole genome shotgun sequence.
GGGGUCGUUACGGAUUCGACAGGCAUUAUGUGGCAUAUUCUGCGACUCAUCGUGCGGAUGUAAAACGUCAGUUAAAUAUAACUGCAAAAAAUAACACUUCUUACGCUUUAGCUGCCUAAAAACCAGCGGGUGUGACUUCCUUGAAAUGGCUUGUGUUUUGAGUGAAGUCUUAUUUUAGCAAGCUACGUUUAAGUAUUGUCUAGCUACUUAAAAAGAGAUGAAUAGACUCGCUUAGUAUAGGGUUGAGCUAUGUGUCGAUACUGAGUUAAAUGAAGGCAUAGCCUAUAGUUGUAGACGAAUAUGAUGGCAGGUGUUUGGACGUGGGUUCGACUCCCACCGGCUCCAUUG